GGGAUGAGAAACUAAUAUACAGCAAAUAGUGGCCUAAAGACAACGUGGUAUAUUAGCAAUCGUAUGAAUUUAAUACAAUCGUAUGAAUUUAAUGGGUUUUAUGUUUGGGAAGACUUUUCUGCUGAAGCCAGUUUGAAGUUGCACUUGUUGCGGCUUGAAAUGGGGUAGGGAUAAAACGCUGAAACUGAAUCGCGGAAACGGAAACUGAAAGCGGAAACUGAAAUGGGGGUAAAACGCUGAAAUGGGGGUAAAACGCUGAAAUGGGGGUAAAACGCUGAAAUGGG